UUGACCUCAAAUCGGGUGAGACUACCCGCUGAACUUGAGCAUAUCAAUAAGCGGAGGAAAAGAAACUAACAAGGAUUCCCCUAGUAACUGCGAGUGAAGCGGGAAAAGCUCAAAUUUAAAAUCUGGCGGUCUUUGGCCGUCCGAGUUGUAAUUUAGAGAAGCGUCUUCCGCGCCGGAC
rnacentral:rRNA from 1 species